GGUGGCUCAGUGGUAGAGUGCUUGCCUUACAUGCUUGAGAGCCUGGGUUCAAUUCCUCAGCACCA
rnacentral:tRNA from 1 species